rnacentral:rRNA from 1 species
UCGUUUCUAAAAGUUUGGGGAUGCGAUGCUUAUGUCAAGAAACUUCAACCUGAAAAGCUCGAACCCAAGUCGGAAAAAUGCGUCUUCAUAGGAUACCCUAAGGAAACCAUUGGGUAUACCUUCUACCUUAGAUUCGAAGGCAAGAUCUUUGUUGCCAAGAACGGAUCCUUUCUAGAAAAAGAGUUUCUCUCGAAAGGGGUAAGUGGGAGGAAAGUAGAACUCGAUGAAGUACUACCUCUUGAACCGGAAAGUAGUGCAGCUCAGGAAAAUGUUCCUGUGGUGUCUACAACGACUGGAGAGGAAAUUAAUGAUGAUGAUCAAGGUACUUCGGAUCGAGUUGCUACUGAACUUUGUAGGUCCACGAGGACACAUUCCACACCAGAGUGGUAUGGCAACCUUGUCCUGGAAAUCAUGUUGUUAGACAACAGUGAACCUUCGAACUAUGAAGAAGCGAUGGCGGGCCCAGAUUCCAACAAAUGGCUAGAAGCCAUGCAAUCCGAGAUAGAAUCCAUGUAUGAAAACAAAGUAUGGACUUUGACUGACUUGCCCGAUGAUCGGCGAGCGAUAGAAAACAAAUGGAUUUUUAAGAAGAAAACAAAUGUCACCAUCUAUAAAGCUCGACUUGUCGCUAAGGGUUAUUGGCAAGUUCAAGGGGUUGACUACGAUGAGACUUUCUCUCCCGUAGCGAAGCUUAAGUCCGUCUGA